rnacentral:rRNA from 1 species
GACGAGCCACACGAACGUUAUUCGGAAUUACUGGGCUUAAAGGGUGCGUAGGCGGCGUGGAAAGUUGGGUGUGAAAUCCCUCGGCUUAACCGAGGAACUGCGCCCAAAACUACCAUGCUCGAGGAAGAUAGAGGUGAGCGGAACUUACGGUGGAGCGGUGAAAUGCGUUGAUAUCGUAAGGAACACCCGUGGCGAAAGCGGCUCACUGGGUCUUUUCUGACGCUGAUGCACGAAAGCUAGGGGAGCAAACGGG